GCCCCAGUAACGGCGAGUGAAGCGGCAACAGCUCAAAUUUGAAAUCUGGCCCCUAGGGUCCGAGUUGUAAUUUGCAGAGGAUGAUUUUGGCGAGGUGCCUUCCGAGUUCCCUGGAACGGGACGCCACAGAGGGUGAGAGCCCCGUCUGGUUGGACGCCGAGCCUAUGUAAAUCUCCUUCGACGAGUCGAGUAGUUUGGGAAUGCUGCUCUAAAUGGGAGGUAUAUGUCUUCUAAAGCUAAAUAUUGGCCAGAGACCGAUAGCGCACAAGUAGAGUGAUCGAAAGAUGAAAAGCACUUUGAAAAGAGGGUUAAAUAGUACGUGAAAUUGUUGAAAGGGAAGCGCUCAUGACCAGACUUGGGCCCGGUGAAUCAUCCAGCGUUCUCGCUGGUGCACUUUGCCGGGCACAGGCCAGCAUCAGUUUGCCCCGGGGGAUAAAGGCUUUGGGAAUGUGGCUCCUCCGGGAGUGUUAUAGCCCAUUGCAUAAUAUCCUGGGGCGGACUGAGGUUCGCGCAUCUGCAAGGAUGCUGGCGUAAUGGUCAUCAGCGACCCGUCUUGAAACACGGACCAAGGAGUCGUCUUCGUAUGCGAGUGUUCGGGUGUAAAACCCCUACGCGUAAUGAAAGUGAACGCAGGUGAGAGCUUCGGCGCAUCAUCGACCGAUCCUGAUGUUCUCGGAUGGAUUUGAGUAAGAGCAUACGGGGCCGGACCCGAAAGAAGGUGAACUAUGCCUGUAUAGGGUGAAGCCAGAGGAAACUCUGGUGGAGGCUCGCAGCGGUUCUGACGUGCAAAUCGAUCGUCAAAUAUGG
rnacentral:rRNA from 1 species